rnacentral:rRNA from 1 species
GAUGAACGCUGGCGGCGUGCCUAAUACAUGCAAGUCGAGCGAACAGACGAGGAGCUUGCUCCUCUGACGUUAGCGGCGGACGGGUGAGUAACACGUGGAUAACCUACCUAUAAGACUGGGAUAACUUCGGGAAACCGGAGCUAAUACCGGAUAAUAUAUUGAACCGCAUGGCUCAAUAGUGAAAGACGGUUUUGCUGUCACUUAUAGAUGGAUCCGCGCCGCAUUAGCUAGUUGGUAAGGUAACGGCUUACCAAAGCAACGAUGCGUAGCCGACCUGAGAGGGUGAUCGGCCACACUGGAACUGAGACACGGUCCAGACUCCUACGGGAGGCAGCAGUAGGGAAUCUUCCGCAAUGGGCGAAAGCCUGACGGAGCAACGCCGCGUGAGUGAUGAAGGUCUUCGGAUCGUAAAACUCUGUUAUUAGGGAAGAACAAAUGUGUAAGUAACUAUGCACGUCUUGACGGUACCUAAUCAGAAAGCCACGGCUAACUACGUG